GCCGCCGUGGCGCAAUGGUAGCGCGUCGCUUUCCUAAUUACAAGGAGUAAUUUCAUAAGGCGGAGGUUGUGGGUUCGAUCCCCACUGGCGGUU